rnacentral:rRNA from 1 species
GCUGGCGGCAUGCCUAACACAUGCAAGUCGAACGAAGCCUUCGGGCUUAGUGGCGCACGGGUGCGUAACGCGUGGGAAUCUGCCCUUAGGUACGGAAUAACUCAGGGAAACUUGAGCUAAUACCGUAUAAUGACUCCGGUCCAAAGAUUUAUCGCCUAAGGAUGAGCCCGCGUAGGAUUAGCUAGUUGGUGAGGUAAAGGCUCACCAAGGCGACGAUCCUUAGCUGGUCUGAGAGGAUGAUCAGCCACACUGGGACUGAGACACGGCCCAGACUCCUACGGGAGGCAGCAGUGGGGAAUAUUGGACAAUGGGCGAAAGCCUGAUCCAGCAAUGCCGCGUGAGUGAUGAAGGCCUUAGGGUUGUAAAGCUCUUUUACCCGGGAUGAUAAUGACAGUACCGGGAGAAUAAGCCCCGGCUAACUCCGUGCCAGCAGCCGCGGUAAUACGGAGGGGGCUAGCGUUGUUCGGAAUUACUGGGCGUAAAGCGCACGUAGGCGGCUUUGUAAGUUAGAGGUGAAAGCCCGGGGCUCAACUCCGGAAUUGCCUUUAAGACUGCAUCGCUAGAAUUGUGG